rnacentral:sRNA from 1 species
UAGGAAAUAAGUCAGCACCGAAGCAGUGGUUAAGCCGGAGGGCUCGGAAGAACGGCACCUUUUCUUUCUCGAAAAAGUUAUAUGGGGGCUGAAUGAGCUUCUGGAGGCUUGUUUACCGUUUUUUAUUGUCACACAGAAAAAGAAACUGCCUUGUCUCCCUUCCGGGAAUUCUCUCUUUAAGACUGUUCUUACGUCUGUUGCUAGAUUAUCGUCCAAAAGUGUUAAUGCCCAAGUGACUGACAUCAACUCCAAGGGACUGGAAUUGAGGAAGACUGUUACUACAGUUGAGACUCAGAACUUGGAAGACCUGCAUCAUGAUGGCCAAUUCUGCCAUAAGCCCUGUCCUCCAGAUGUGAACAUGGAAUCAUCAAGGAAUGCACACUUGCCAGCAACACCAAGUGCAAAGAGGAAGGAUCCAGAUCUAACUUGUGGUGGCUUUGUCUUCUUCUUUUGCCAAUUCCACUAAUUGUUUGGGUGAAGAGAAAGGAAGUACAGAAAACAUGCAGAAAGCACAGAAAGGAAAACCAAGGUUCUCAUGAAUCUCCAACCUUAAAUCCUGAAACAGUGGCAAUAAAUUUAUCUGAUGUUGACUUGAGUAAAUAUAUCACCACUAUUGCUGGAGUCAUGACACUAAGUCAAGUUAAAGGCUUUGUUCGAAAGAAUGGUGUCAAUGAAGCCAAA